AGCAGCCGCGGUAAUUCCAGCUCCAAUAGCGUAUAUUAAAGUUGUUGCAGUUAAAAAGCUCGUAGUUGAAUUUCGGGGUUAGUAGGUUGGUCAUGCCUCUGGUAUGUACUGGUCUCACUGAUUCCUCCUUCCUGAUGAACCGUAAUGCCAUUAAUUUGGUGUUGCGAGGAAUUUGGACUGUUACUUUGAAAAAAUUUAGAGUGCUUAAAGCAAGCUAACGCUUGAAUACAUUAGCAUGGAAUAAUGAAAUAGGACGUUCGAUCCUAUUUUGUUGGUUUCUAGGAUUGACGUAAUGAUUAAUAGGGAUAGUUGGGGGCAUUAGUAUUCAAUUGUCAGAGGUGAAAUUCUUGGAUUUAUUGAAGACUAACUACUGCGAAAGCAUUUGCCAAGGAUGUUUUCAUUAAUCAAGAACGAAAGUUAGGGGAUCGAAGACGAUCAGAUACCGUCGUAGUCUUAACCAUAAACUAUGCCGACUAGGGAUCGGAUGAUGUUAAUUUUUUAAUGACUCAUUCGGCGCCUU
rnacentral:rRNA from 1 species